AAAAACCACCUUCUCCAUGACUCAGUAUGCAGAGUUAUACGUUCGAGAGAUUGUCAGAUUGCAUGGGAUUCCCGUUUCUAUAGUAUCGGAUAGAGAUCCGAGGUUCACCUCGGCUUUCUGGAAAAGUUUGCAUUCGGCCAUGGGGACUAAACUAUUGUUUAGUACAGCAUUUCAUCCCCAAACAGAUGGUCAAUCAGAGAGGGUGAUAUAAAUUUUAGAAGACUUGCUGCGAGCAUGUGUGAUCGAUUUCCAGGGGGGUUGGGAAUCAAAGCUGCCGCUUGUGGAGUUCACUUAUAACAACAGUUAUCAGUCAUCUAUAGGCAUGGCUCCUUAUGAGGCACUUUAUGGAAGGAGGUGUAGAUCCCCUAUCCAUUGGGAUGAAGUGGGAGAGAGGGCAGAGGUGGGACCAGAAAUCGUGAGGCAUACAACAGACCUAGUAGCCAGGAUUAGAGAGAGAAUGAAGACUGCCCAAAGUCGGUAAAAGAGCUAUGCUGAUAAGAGGAGAAGGGACCUGGAAUUUACCGUUGGUGAUCAUGUGUUUGUGAAAAUAGCACCGAUGAAAGGUGUUAUGAGAUUUGGCAAGAGAGGUAAACUCAUCCCGAGAUUCAUUGGACCCUUCGAGAUCCUAGAUAGGGUGGGAACAUUCGCAUAUCGGGUGGCCUUGCCACCUAAUCUUGCAGGAGUGCAUAAUGUGUUCCAUGUCUCAAUGUUGCGCAAGUACAUGUCGAAUCCCUCCCAUGUGCUGAAUUUUGAACCGCUGCAGCUUACCCCAGAUCUGUCCUAUGAGGAGAGACCUAUACAGAUACUGGACCGGCAAGAGAGGAAGCUAUGGAACCGGACGGUCAGGAUGGUCAAGGUCAAAUGGUUGAACCAUGCUGACGAAGAGGCCACUUGGGAGACAGAAACUGACAUGAGGAUCCGCUACCCGGAGUUAAUUGGUAAGUUUAAAAUUUCGAGGACAAAAUUCAAUUAAGGGGGAGAUGGUUUGUAAAGUCCAAUCUUUUUUAAAAAAAAGAGAGAAAUCCAAGGGGAACAUAGAAAUAAACUCUUUGUUUUACUUAAAGGGAGCUAAAUUGCUAAUAACCAAUUAAUGAACACUUGGGCUUAGCCCAAUUGGUAAAGAAUGGGCCAAACCCUAAGGAUUUGGUUCUUAUAAGGGGUCGGCAGUGAAGAGAGAAAAAAAAGAAGAGGGGUUUCGGCGGAAGAAAAGGAAGAGGAGGGAGGUCUCGAAGGAAGGAAGGGAAAGGGGGCGUCUCACCAUUGUUCGUCGUCACCACCUGCGCCAACACCGGGUCUCCGAAAACAAGGCACCUCUUAGACUCCUUUCUUCUUUCCACUCGUUAGAGUCUGUUUUUCUUCUUGCUUUCCUCUGUUUUCACAAUGGCUUCCCAGCAUUUUUUUUUCCAGCCUUUUAACCCAUAAACGCAGCAAGUUUUGAGGGUUCCUUAGGCUAUCUGCAGGAGGUAAGGAUGAAUGCUUUGGUUCAGUUGGCCAGCAGAGGUUCUUGGUGGUUGCGGUUAUUGGUUGAUUGGGUGGAGGAUAAAGGAUUUGUAUCGAUCUCUGGUGAAGUUUUCGUUUUCCCCAAGUAGUGUUGAGGGGAAAGGGAGUAGGUGAAGAAACAAACGACGUUGGAGGCUUAGACCCUUGACCAGACUGGACUGGACAGUACACUCCCGAGGACUCACUGAUUUCCGCAUAAAGAAUAAAUAAACAGCAUUUAUGAUUUAGAGAGAGUGAAUUUGCUUUCAAUUUAAAUUCCUAGGAUGUAUGACUAGAUUAUCAAUAACAAACAAUUUUCUUAUUCA